GUCUUCCAGAAAAAAAACUGUCUUCCACCAAAUCCAAGUCUUCCAAUCAAUCCAAGUCUUCCAGCUGACUUACGUCUUCCGGAACAUCCAGGUCUUCCAGUCAAUUGAUGUCUUCCAGAAAGAAAUCCAGGUCUUCCACUCACUCCAUGUCUUCCAGAAAAAUAUCCAGGUCUUCCAACAAAUAUGUCUUCCAGAAAAUCGACGUCUUCCAGAAAAUCGAUGUCUUCCAGCAAAUCCACGUCUUCCAACAAGGCUGUGUCUUCCAGCAAAUUCAUGUCUUCCGGCCUACCCACGUCUUCCAACAAAUUUGUCUUCCAGAAAAUCCACGUCUUCCUGCAUCUCCAGGGCUUCCAGCAUCUCCAGGGCUUCCAGCAUCUGCUCGUCUUCCAGCAUCUCUGCGUCUUCCAGCAACUCCACGUCUUCCAGCAUCUCCACGUCUUCCGACAACUACCCAGUCUUCCAACAGGGGGCUCAAUAUCCACAUCUUCCAACGUCUCCAGAGUGCCGGUCUUCUAACAUUGGGUCUUCCAGUGUCUACAAUAUCCAGGUAUUCUAACAUGUUCCAUAGUCCAGGUCUUCUGACCUUUCCCCAGGUCCAGACCUUUUUAAAAUUAGUCUUCCCAAGUCCAAGCCUUUCUGUGUUCAGAUCUUUCUACAGACAGGCCCUCCAACACAAGUAA
rnacentral:lncRNA from 1 species